rnacentral:lncRNA from 1 species
GGACAACUUGCUACUCAAAUGAAUAACAUGCAAGCCCAAGGGUCGAACCAACUUCCAGCCCAAACAAUUAUCAAUCCAAAUGGUCCUAAUGCUAAUGUGAGUGCAAUUUCUUUGAGAUCCGGAAAAGUUACAGAAUCAGCCCCUGAAAAAAAUAAAAAAAUCAUUGAGGUAACUUUUGAACUUCCUACUUCUAAACUGUCUGCUGAACCUCCUUCUCCU